AAGUAACGGAGUUCCUGCGUGUCCAAGGAAUGAAUCUUGGUUCAAACAGUGUCUGUAGCAGAACUGGGACCAGAGUUCUUUAUCUUUACUCUUCAGACUCCGCAGACUGCUCAACUGCUUUGUGCAUUAUACUUUGUUUGGGUGAUGCUCCUGAUGCAGGAAGGUGGGGAUGGCACUGGAUUCUGUGACAGAAGGAAAGAAUGCAGGAAAUAACUCCCCAGUUCACUUGAUUUUUACCUGAUGAUUUACAAGAAGCGAUUCUUCAUAGCUUACCAGGCAGUGAGGCUUGCAACUAGCCAUUAAAAACGUCCUGGAUAUUUUGGGGAAUUAUUUGCAUGUGAGGACAGUGAGAAGAUGGCCUUGGAGCUGCUCAGAGUGCCCUGGUACACACAG